GAUGAACGCUAGCGAUAGGCCUAACACAUGCAAGUCGAGGGGCAUCACAUGAAGUAGCAAUACGGAUGGUGGCGACCGGCGCACGGGUGAGUAACACGUAUGCAACCUGCCUUCAACAAGGGGAUAACCCGUUGAAAGACGGACUAAUACCCUAUAACACAGGGGUCCCGCAUGGGAAUAUUUGUUAAAGGACAACCGGUUGAAGAUGGGCAUGCGUUCCAUUAGCUAGUUGGCGGGGUAACGGCCCACCAAGGCAACGAUGGAUAGGGGAACUGAGAGGUUUAUCCCCCACACUGGAACUGAGACACGGACCAGACUCCUACGGGAGGCAGCAGUGAGGAAUAUUGGUCAAUGGACGCAAGUCUGAACCAGCCACGUCGCGUGAAGGAAGACGGCCCUACGGGUUGUAAACUUCUUUUAUACGGGAAUAAAGUGCCCCACGCGUGGGGUUUUGCAUGUACCGUAUGAAUAAGGAUCGGCUAACUCCGUG
rnacentral:rRNA from 1 species